rnacentral:rRNA from 1 species
GCAAGGUUAACCGUAUAGGGGAGCCGUAGGGAAACCGAGUCUUAACCGGGCGUUAAGUUGCAGGGUAUAGACCCGAAACCCGGUGAUCUAGCCAUGGGCAGGUUGAAGGUUGGGUAACACUAACUGGAGGACCGAACCGACUAAUGUUGAAAAAUUAGCGGAUGACCUGUGGCUGGGGGUGAAAGGCCAAUCAAACCGGGAGAUAGCUGGUUCUCCCCGAAAGCUAUUUAGGUAGCGCCUCGUGAAUUCAUCUCCGGGGGUAGAGCACUGUUUCGGCUAGGGGGCCAUCCCGGCUUACCAACCCGAUGCAAACUGCGAAUACCGGAGAAUGUUAUCACGGGAGACACACGGCGGGUGCUAACGUCCGUCGUGAAGAGGGAAACAACCCAGACCGCCAGCUAAGGUCCCAAAGUCAUGGUUAAGUGGGAAACGAUGUGGGAAGGCCCAGACAGCCAGGAUGUUGGCUUAGAAGCAGCCAUCAUUUAAAGAAAGCGUAAUAGCUCACUGGUCGAGUCGGCCUGCGCGGAAGAUGUAACGGGGCUAAACCAUGCACCGAAGCUGCGGCAGCGAACGUAUCACCCAAGACAACUUUACGGAGUUGACGAUUGACGGAGCGAAGCGACGUCAAAGCGUUCAUUAAAGUCGAGUUGGCUUAGGGAUACGUUCGUUGGGUAGGGGAGCGUUCUGUAAGCCUGUGAAGGUGUGUCGUGAGGCAUGCUGGAGGUAUCAGAAGUGCGAAUGCUGACAUAAGUAACGAUAAAGCGGGUGAAAAGCCCGCUCGCCGGAAGACCAAGGGUUCCUGUCCAACGUUAAUCGGGGCAGGGUGAGUCGACCCCUAAGGCGAGGCCGAAAGGCGUAGUCGAUGGGAAACGGGUUAAUAUUCCCGUACUUGGUGUUACUGCGAAGGGGGGACGGAGAAGGCUAUGUUGGCCGGGCGACGGUUGUCCCGGUUUAAGCGUGUAGGUGUGUGUUCCAGGUAAAUCCGGUUCACUUUAACACUGAGGCGUGACGACGAGGCACUACGGUGCUGAAGCAACAAAUGCCCUGCUUCCAGGAAAAGCCUCUAAGCAUCAGGUAACACGAAAUCGUACCCCAAACCGACACAGGUGGUCAGGUAGAGAAUACCAAGGCGCUUGAGAGAACUCGGGUGAAGGAACUAGGCAAAAUGGUGCCGUAACUUCGGGAGAAGGCACGCUGACAC